GGUUAAGUGACUAAGCGUACAUGGUGGAUGCCUUGGCAGUCAGAGGCGAUGAAGGACGUACUAACCUGCGAUAAGCCGUGAGCAGUCGGUAAGAGACAUUACGACUCACGGAUUUCCGAAUGGGGAAACCCACUUAGCAUAAGCUAGGUAUCGCUGCGUGAAUACAUAGCGUAGCGAGGCGAACCGGGAGAACUGAAACAUCUAAGUACCCCGAGGAAAAGAAAUCAACCGAGAUUCCCUCAGUAGCGGCGAGCGAACGGGGAUUAGCCCUUAAGCAUCUUGGAAGUUAGUGGAACGGUCCUGGAAAGGCCGGCGAUACAGGGUGAUAGCCCCGUACACGAAAACAACCUUGAUGUGAAAUCGAGUAGGGCGGGACACGUGACAUCCUGUCUGAAUAUGGGGGGACCAUCCUCCAAGGCUAAAUACUCCUGACUGACCGAUAGUGAACCAGUACCGUGAGGGAAAGGCGAAAAGAACCCCUGUGAGGGGAGUGAAAUAGAACCUGAAACCGUGUACGUACAAGCAGUGGGAGCCCUUCGGGGUGACUGCGUACCUUUUGUAUAAUGGGUCAGCGACUUACAUUUUGUAGCGAGGUUAACCGUAUAGGGGAGCCGUAGGGAAACCGAGUCUUAACUGGGCGUCUAGUUGCAAGGUGUAGACCCGAAACCGGGUGAUCUAGCCAUGGGCAGGUUGAAGGUUGAGUAACAUCAACUGGAGGACCGAACCCACUAACGUUGCAAAGUUAGGGGAUGACCUGUGGCUGGGGGUGAAAGGCCAAUCAAACUCGGAGAUAGCUGGUUCUCCCCGAAAGCUAUUUAGGUAGCGCCUCGGACGAAUACUACUGGGGGUAGAGCACUGUUUGGGCUAGGGGGUCAUCCCGACUUACCAACCCCAUGCAAACUCCGAAUACCAGUAAGUAAUAUCCGGGAGACACACGGCGGGUGCUAACGUCCGUCGUGAAGAGGGAAACAACCCAGACCGCCGGCUAAGGUCCCAAAGUUCUGGUUAAGUGGGAAACGAUGUGGGAAGGCUCAGACAGCUAGGAUGUUGGCUUAGAAGCAGCCAUCAUUUAAAGAAAGCGUAAUAGCUCACUAGUCGAGUCGGCCUGCGCGGAAGAUGUAACGGGGCUCAAAC
rnacentral:rRNA from 1 species